CAGCAGUACAAUGGCAAGCAGCCCUGUGUAUUUCGCUCUGAUUCUAGAGCUGGGAGCAUGGCAAAACAGCAGUAGUUUCCUGACAGAAGGCAUGAAGGCUGCUUUUGAUAUUGCUUUUCAAAGAUGUCUUCAGUUCCACGUGAUGCAAUGGUAGAAUUACAUCCAUGUCUAUGGACUAGACUAAGUGUGAUGCUGGAGUUCCAUUACCUGAAUUCUGGAUGUGCAAUUUGGACCUAGAAAAGUUACUGCAAAGGUGAAAAAGACGGAUUAGAACUCUUGUGCUGCGUUUAACUCUUGUUACUGAGCCAUUUCAUCUGUCAAAAUGUCACCACCACUAUUGUCUAUAUGUAUCAUGACUGUCUUUCCCCCUUAGCGAGUCUAUGUUGGUGAUUUCAGUUGUGAAAGGAUGUAGUGAGGAAGAACUGUUCUCCUCUGAAUUAUGCACAUUGUGCAAAUGACUGCAUUUGGAAGUUCAGUUUUGUGUAGU